rnacentral:rRNA from 1 species
UACGUAGGGUGCGAGCGUUGUCCGGAAUUAUUGGGCGUAAAGAGCUCGUAGGCGGUUUGUCGCGUCUGCCGUGAAAGUCCGGGGCUCAACUCCGGAUCUGCGGUGGGUACGGGCAGACUAGAGUGAUGUAGGGGAGACUGGAAUUCCUGGUGUAGCGGUGAAAUGCGCAGAUAUCAGGAGGAACACCGAUGGCGAAGGCCGGUCUCUGGGCAUUAACUGACGCUGAGGAGCGAAAGCAUGGGGAGCGAACAGG